ACGUAUUUUCUCGGACAAGCCACGUGACCAUAGCUUUUCAAAAUGUCGGAUGAUUGGGACGCAGACGAUUUCGAAGUCAAUGAUUUCAAGAAAGAAAAGAGUGAUAAAUGGGAUGGAGAAGACGAAGAAGAAGGGAUCAAGGACAGCUGGGAAGAUGAAGACAAAAAACCAGAAAAUCCAGAAAUGAAAGCAUACCAGAGACCAAAGAAGAAACCGUUAGAGCAAAGAAUAGCUGAACGAGAAGCAGCAAGGAAACAGAAAACGGAGGAAGUUAGAUUAGAACUUGAAGAAAAGGCCAGAUUUAAAACAGCGGAGGGUCAGCAGGCAGAAAAAUUACGUAUUAAAAAAAUUCAAGAAGAAUCAGAUUUUAAACUUGCUAAAGAGGCUUUUGGUAUAUCUAGUGAAUUAGAAUCUAUAUCUGUAGAAACGGAAGAAGAUUUUAAAAAAUUAUCCAAAGCAUUAAAAGAAAAAAUAACAUCUUUUGAGAAACAUAGUUACUACUCAAGAUUUUUAGAAAAUUUAAUUCAGGAUUUAGCCGUAGAUUUACCAGCAGAAGAUAUAAAAAGAAUUAGUACAACUUUUACCAAUUUACAUCAUGAAAAAGAGAGACAAAGAAAGGAAUUGGAGAAAAAGAAGAAAAAGAAAAACAAAGCAGUGAUAAAGAUUGAUAGAGCUGAUGAUUUAGAUCUUAUAGGCGAUGCUACAGGAAAUUAUACUUAUGAAGACGACGAUUUUAUUUAAUUCAUGGCCGUGACAAAUUUAUCAUCCAGUUACAACAGUCUUUCUACUGCAGUAUAAUAUAAAGUGACCUUGAACUCAUGUCAGUUGUGACCUUGAACUCAUGGCAGUUGUGACCUUGAACUUUGCUCUACAUAUGUGACCAUAUUUAUGACCUAGAUUAAAAUCAAAUUUUUAAAAACAAAAGACUGUACCAAUGUUUGCAUAUGCUAUAUUGAAUUGUAUAGCAAAUAUUGAAUUGUACAGCUAAAAGGCUGAUUGGCAAUUUCAUUUGCAUAACCUGGGCUUCGUGCAACAUGGCCGGUAACCCUGUCUAGACUAAGGUCGACUGUCUUGAUCCUACUGUGUAAUUAAGUGUCAAUGUUUAUGAUUUUCAUCUGUGGAAAGUCUUUUUGUGGUGUGGGGGUUAUAUAAUUAUAACUGAUUUGCAUGAAUCUGUAUAUCUUAUCCGUUAAGCGCUUGGUAUAUGUAAAUAUUGACUACACCCAGUUCCUUGGAGAAAAAAAGAGAUAUAAAUACAUCCAUGAUACAGUCCAAAAUGGCUGAUCUUUAUGGUUGUUUUGGUCGGUCUAAGUGCUAAAGGGUUUAAAUCACAUUGGACGUUCUCAGAAGAAAAUAAAAACAUUCUACCAUACAUUUCUUGUCUACAAUAAAACAAUGCGCUCUAUUUAUAAUAAACUAGUGAUUGUAUUCCAUGUAAAUGGUGGCCAUGUCGCAGAAAGUAGCCUGCUAAAUUAAAUAGUUUAUAUAGAUUUUCCUCGCAUUAUGCUGUGUUAAUGUGGGCCUUUAACCCAGCUUUAAUAGUGGUAGCGAAAUCAAACCAAGCUUUGAUGUAAACCUUUGCAUUAUUAAUAAAAGAAUAUACGAUUUGAUGCCUAAGGCCAAACCAAAUUAAUAAUUCAUAAAUAGCAACUGAAGUCUUCGUUUACUGGUAUUAUGGGGUUUUUUUUGAAAAAAUGAAAAACUUAAAAUUUUGGGACUAAAAACUUUGAGACGAGCAAACAAAUACUUUUUGUUGCUGAAUUAGUUUUUUUUUUCAAAAGAAAAGGAUGCAAUAGUUUUUUUCCAUAACAAAAGGAAGCAAUGAUUUUAAAUAAUUGUUCACCAAAGAACAAAAAUUUAAUUUGGUGUGGGCUUACUAUUUUGUUAUUCUGCAAGUCAGUGGUGUUAAUAUUAAUUUCUGUUACUCAAUUCAGAAAAAAAUACAAAAUCAAUUGUAACUUAGUUAUCUUUGUUCACAUUUAAUCAAUUUCAAAUGGUAACUUAACUGCAGGCCAUAAUCCAAUGAAAUUUGGUAUGGUAUUGAAUGGCUAUUAUUAUUGUUUAUUUUUAAAAAUGCAUGAAAUUUUUAACUUCAAAUGAUAUAUAAAUAAAUAAAUAUUGGAAGCGAAAUGGUAUUACCUUGUAAUUUAAUAAAUAUUAGAUAUCUA